rnacentral:rRNA from 1 species
GAUGAACGCUGGCGGCGUGCCUAAUACAUGCCAGUCGAGCGAACGGACGAGAAGCUUGCUUCUCUGAUGUUAGCGGCGGACGGGUGAGUAACACGUGGAUAACCUACCUAUAAGACUGGGAUAACUUCGGGAAACCGGAGCUAAUACCGGAUGAUAUUUUGAACCGCAUGGUUCAAAAGUGAAAGACGGUCUUGCUGUCACUUAUAGAUGGAUCCGCGCUGCAUUAGCUAGUUGGUAAGGUAACGGCUUACCAAGGCAACGAUGCAUAGCCGACCUGAGAGGGUGAUCGACCACACUGGAACUGAGACACGGUCCGGACUCCUACGGGAGGCAGCAGUAGGGAAUCUUCCGCAAUGGGCGAAAGCCUGACGGAGCAACGCCGCGUGAGUGAUGAAGGUCUUCGGAUCGUAAAACUCUGUUAUUAGGGAAGAACAUAUGUGUAAGUAACUGUGCACAUCUUGACGGUACCUAAUCAGAAAGCCACGGCUAACUACGUG